rnacentral:rRNA from 1 species
UACAGAGACUGCAAGCGUUAUUCGGAUUCACUGGGCGUAAAGGGUGCGUAGGCGGUCGGGUAAGUCUGAUGUGAAAUCUCACAGCUUAACUGUGAAACUGCAUUGGAUACUAUCCGGCUCGAGGAGUGGAGGGGAGACUGGAAUACUUGGUGUAGCAGUGAAAUGCGUAGAUAUCAAGUGGAACACCAGUGGCGAAGGCGAGUCUCUGGACAUUUCCUGACGCUGAGGCACGAAAGCCAGGGGAGCAAACGGG